ensembl:snRNA U5 U5 spliceosomal RNA
UAGCUUUGGUUUCUCUUCAUUCAUGCGUAAAUCUUUUGCCUCUUACUAAAGAUUUUAUUGAAGGGGAAUGUUAAAUAAUCAAACACAUUUUUUCCCCUUCGGGAUCAGUGAAGUC